AGACGUAUUAUCCACGUGUUGCUCAAAUCAGUGUGUGUUUGCAAACACGAGUUUCAGUUUCAUGAAGAAUGAGUGACUAUUCAGCUAAAAACUGUUAGACCCUCUCCCAUUUCAUGACUGGAGCCGUGCCACAACAACCAUGGCUAUGUUGUUGCGCAAGGUAUGGGAAUCCGUAUCUACUCGUUCCACUUCGAGCAAUUCCACCUCAACUUCGAUCUCGACUGUCAAUUCCAUGGAUCGGUUCGACCAGAUGAUGAUGUAUAUACAGACGGCGUCCACCGGAGAAUUUGAUCGGAUUCCGUUAGAUAUUUUCAUUCAAAUUUUGAAGAUUUUAGGGCCAAAAGAGUCUGCUAAGCUGACUUCUGUAUGUAAAUCCUGGAAAUACAUUGUUUCCGAUAAUCGCCUAUGGAUUUACUUUCUUCAGAAUCACCAUGAGCCUUGGGAUUCUACUUUUUUCUCUGAAACUCACUUGAGAUCUGGACCUCUUAGGACGUUUCCAAAUUCAGUACCAGAAUUGUCAUUCAUGAGUAUUUAUGGUCAACGUGCUCAAGUGCCCGGUGCUAUUAUUAUUGAUGGUGGGUCUGGCUAUUGCAAAUUUGGUUGGAGUAAGUAUAGUGCUCCGUCAGGGAGAUCAGCGACAUUUUUGGAGUUUGGCAACAUUGAAUCUCCAAUGUAUUCUAGAUUGAGACACUUCUUUUCAACGAUAUACACCAGGAUGCAGGUGAAAACUUCAACACAGCCGAUCAUUGUGUCCAUUCCGAUUUGCCAUUAUGAUGGUCAGUUUCUAUUUGGGCGUUGCUGAAAAUCCAGUCAAAUUUCUGUAAAUAUAACGUAUCAACGACUCAAUUUGUUG
rnacentral:misc_RNA from 1 species